rnacentral:rRNA from 1 species
AGUGAACGCUGGCGGUAGGCCUAACACAUGCAAGUCGAACGGCAGCACAGUAAGAGCUUGCUCUUACGGGUGGCGAGUGGCGGACGGGUGAGGAAUACAUCGGAAUCUACCUUCUCGUGGGGGAUAACGUAGGGAAACUUACGCUAAUACCGCAUACGACCUACGGGUGAAAGCAGGGGAUCUUCGGACCUUGCGCGAUUGAAUGAGCCGAUGUCGGAUUAGCUAGUUGGCGGGGUAAAGGCCCACCAAGGCGACGAUCCGUAGCUGGUCUGAGAGGAUGAUCAGCCACACUGGAACUGAGACACGGUCCAGACUCCUACGGGAGGCAGCAGUGGGGAAUAUUGGACAAUGGGCGCAAGCCUGAUCCAGCCAUACCGCGUGGGUGAAGAAGGCCUUCGGGUUGUAAAGCCCUUUUGUUGGGAAAGAAAAGCAGCAGGUUAAUACCCCGCUGUUCUGACGGUACCCAAAGAAUAAGCACCGGCUAACUUCGUG